rnacentral:rRNA from 1 species
GAUGAACGCUGGCGGCGUGCCUAAUACAUGCAAGUCGAGCGAAUGGAUUAAGAGCUUGCUCUUAUGAAGUUAGCGGCGGACGGGUGAGUAACACGUGGGUAACCUGCCCAUAAGACUGGGAUAACUCCGGGAAACCGGGGCUAAUACUGGAUAACAUUUUGAACCGCAUGGUUCGAAAUUGAAAGGCGGCUUCGGCUGUCACUUAUGGAUGGACCCGCGUCGCAUUAGCUAGUUGGUGAGGUAACGGCUCACCAAGGCAACGAUGCGUAGCCGACCUGAGAGGGUGAUCGGCCACACUGGGACUGAGACACGGCCCAGACUCCUACGGGAGGCAGCAGUAGGGAAUCUUCCGCAAUGGACGAAAGUCUGACGGAGCAACGCCGCGUGAGUGAUGAAGGCUUUCGGGUCGUAAAACUCUGUUGUUAGGGAAGAACAAGUGCUAGUUGAAUAAGCUGGCACCUUGACGGUACCUUGCGAAUAAGAGGUUACUAACUCUGUGCCAGCCGCCGCCGUAA